UAGGGAAUCUUCGGCAAUGGGGGGAACCCUGACCGAGCAACGCCGCGUGAGUGAAGAAGGUUUUCGGAUCGUAAAGCUCUGUUGUUAAGGAAGAACGAGUGUGAGAAUGGAAAGUUCAUGCUGUGACGGUACUUAACCAGAAAGGGACGGCUAACUACGUGCCAGCAGCCGCGGUAAUACGUAGGUCCCGAGCGUUGUCCGGAUUUAUUGGGCGUAAAGCGAGCGCAGGCGGUUAGAAAAGUCUGAAGUGAAAGGCAGUGGCUCAACCAUUGUAGGCUUUGGAAACUGUUUAACUUGAGUGCAGAAGGGGAGAGUGGAAUUCCAUGUGUAGCGGUGAAAUGCGUAGAUAUAUGGAGGAACACCAGUGGCGAAAGCGGCUCUCUGGUCUGUAACUGACGCUGAGGCUCGAAAGCGUGGGGAGCGAACAGG
rnacentral:rRNA from 1 species